AAGCUCGAAGAUGAAGAAGUCAUCUCGUACAUUCUCUCGGGACUCGACAUCAAGUACAAUUUGUUCGUGUUAGCAAUCGCGGCCAGGAUUGAGCCCAUCUCCCUUGGUGAGUUAUACACCCAGCUUUCAACUUUUGAGC
rnacentral:snoRNA from 1 species